UCUCGCAUCUGGGUACCGCCAGGUGGAGAGGACCAACCAGGAGCUGGGGGAGGUUCCUAAGGAGUCACUGCCAGGACCGGCAGGGCGUGUGGGGUCUGGUUUCUUCCCUGGGCGGAAAACGCCCAGAACUCACUUCGUCACUCCUCCACCGGGCUGACUCCCAUCUAGUGCAUCCUGGGAUAUCAGCCGGCCCUGGCUCCGUGGACUCCGAGCCAGACCAAGGCCCCUAAAGUUGACCAGGGAUUCCAGCAUGCAGAGAAGGUGUGGAACACUGCCCACGUGAGGCUCCAGCGCCGUCCUCUGUUGGAAGGAUCAGGUGGACCGCCACCGCAGUGAGGCUCCCGUAUUCCAUCCUGGUGAUCGCAUCUGGCUCUCCAACAGGAACAUCCCGCUCCACCUUCCCUGCCGGAAGCUUGAGCCACCAGUUUGUGGGGCCCUUCAAGGCUGGUGGUUCCUGGUCCACCUGGCUGAUGCUGCCCCCCCUACACCCCUCCACCUCCUUUGGACAUCGAAGGGACCCCGCCUACAAUGUCGUGUGGGUCGGCUCCAGUACCUGGUGGACUUAGAGUGGUACGUUCCUGAGGAGCGCUCUUUGGUCCCGGUGGCGGACAUCCUGGACACCAAUAUUAUCUGAGAUUUCUUUCUCCACCGUCCGGACCGGCCCGCCGCCUUGCCCUUGGGACCAUUCUCCAGGCCGGCAUCGUCCUGCAGCUGGAGCUGCACAUCAAGGGGGUACUGUCGCUCCCUCCGGCACUCGAUGUCGCUGUUCUACUAACCACCGGUCAUGGCAACCCACAAUGCGCACACCUGGCAACCAUCAUUGCGCACACCUGCUCCCCAUCGUUAAGCAUACCUGGACUUCAUCACCACCCUGAUUACUCUCCUUUCAUAUAGCCCUCAGCAGCCUCAUCAGGCUGGCAGUAUUGGUUUUGUUUACGUUCAGUACACUUCUCCUGUUUUGUAUUUUCAUCAUGUUUAUUAUUAUUAAACUCACCUUCUGCACCUGC